rnacentral:rRNA from 1 species
CUAACAGGAUUCCCCUAGUAACUGCGAGUGAAGCGGGAAAAGCUCAAAUUUAAAAUCUGGUGGCUUUAUAGUCAUCCGAGUUGUAAUUUAGAGAAGCGUCUUCCGCGCUGGACCAUGCACAAGUCUCCUGGAAUGGAGCGUCAUAGAGGGUGAGAAUCCCGUCUUUGGCAUGGAUGCACCAGGGCUUCUGUGAUGCGCUCUCGAAGAGUCGAGUUGUUUGGGAAUGCAGCUCAAAAUGGGUGGUGAACUCCAUCUAAAGCUAAAUAUUGGCGAGAGACCGAUAGCGAACAAGUACCGUGAGGGAAAGAUGAAAAGCACUUUGGAAAGAGAGUGAAACAGUACGUGAAAUUGUUGAAAGGGAAACGCUUGAAGUCAGUCGCGUCGAUCAAGACUCAGCCUUGCCUCGGCUUGGUGUAAUUCUUGGCUGACGGGUCAGCAUCAAUUUUGGCCUUUGGAUAAUGAUAAGGGAAAGGUGGCACCUUUGCGGGUGUGUUAUAGUCUCUUGUCGGAUACGAGGGUCGGGAUUGAGGAACUCAGCAUGCGCCUUUUGGUGUCGGGGCUUCGGCCUACGUUACGUGCUUAGGAUGCUGGCAUAAUGGCUUUAAACGACCCGUCUUGAAACACGGAAGGGCGAAUUCGUUUAAACCUGCAGGACUAGUCCCUUUAGUGAGGGUUAAUUCUGAGCUUGGCGUAAUCAUGGUCAUAGCUGUUUCCUGUGUGAAAUUGUUAUCCGCUCACAAUUCCACACAACAUACGAGCCGGAAGCAUAAAGUGUAAAGCCUGGGGUGCCUAAUGAGUGAGCUAACUCACAUUAAUUGCGUUGCGCUCACUGCCCGCUUUCCAGUCGGGAAACCUGUCGUGCCAGCUGCAUUAAUGAAUCGGCCAACGCGCGGGGAGAGGCGGUUUGCGUAUUGGGCGCUCUUCCGCUUCCUCGCU